UCGCUUUGGGUGCGAGAGGUCCCGAGUUCGAUUCUCGGAAUGCCCCUGAAACUGGCUUUUUUCUUUUUUUAUUGCGUUUGCGACUAAUUACGAAGAAUGCCCAUUACCUGUUCGAUUAUUUGCGCCUCAAACAUUGAACUUUGUCCGCCGGAACAAUGUCGGCCUGGACUGCUACUUGGAAAGAAAGAGUUUGAGAGUUAGUUUGCCGGAAGAUCAAUGCAGGGCUAUUGUAGACUCUUAGUAUUUUUAAAUAAGCAAUGGCCCUAGCAUCUGAAGAUUUCUAAAUCCCCAGAAAGCAAAACCCCUUAAAAGGCAAAAAUUAGUCAUGGCAGAAUCGUCUCUUUUCUUCUGCUUUCCUACUUAUUCUAAUCCCACCUUCUUGGGUAGGCAAAGUUAGAUGGUGUUUGGGUAAGUAGUGAUAGGUCCACACCACUUAUUGCAAAGGCAUGUCUCAGUUCCAACUUCCUCAGCCUCAUCCGAAGGAAGGUUGAAGUCAUCAAUUUGGAUCCUGCAAAAUGCAAAUUAUGGGUUGCCAUAUCUUUUUUUACUAUUGUUGUGUUUGCUUGUAGUCAAAUUCAGUCAAUGGGAAGUUCCUUCAUAUGAAUUUAGAUAUGAGUGUGCUGUGAAUGUUGAGUAUCUCAUUAAACUAUGUAAUAAUGGAGCAUUCUCUUGAUCCUAAUGGAGGUGAGUCUCCCUUUUCAUUUUCUUUCUUUGUAAACAGCUUCAUAUUCUGUUACUAUUCACCAUACUUGUGGCUACCUGGCAAGACCUGGCCCGGUCCCAUUAUUUGCUACGUACUUGAAUGUUAUGACAAAUCUCUGGACUUAUGAACUACUGGUUCCUUAAUUAUUAUCCCAUCAUAUCAGAUGGUUGCAAUCUGAUCUUAUUACCUUUCCCUGGAGGGCAAAAAUUAACCAUCUGGUUGAUACUUCCAAAAUCUAAAAGAUUGGGUUAAGCGGCCUUUCACAAGUGACAGUAUAGUUUAUAGUCCUGUCAACUCCUUUAGCCCUAUCCUGAUGGCCUUAUGUCAGUUGGAUGACCAAGAAGCCUCGAAUACCAUGAAAGCACGGAAAUGGGGAGGGGGAAGGGAAGGGGAAGAGGGGGGAAGAGGAGGAGGAUCAUCCCUAGGGCUGAUGAUAACUGGGAUGACCAAGGAGCCUCGAAUACCAUGUAAGCACGGAAAUGGGGAGGGGGAAGGGAAGGGGAAGAGGGGGAGGAUCAUCCCUAGGGCUGAUGAUAACUGGGAGUUGUUUGGUAGUUCCAUAUGCUCUUAUUUUGGAAAUAUGAAGUUAAUUCAAAUUUUAAUUAAUUAAUGUUCUAAUCAACAUGCUCGUAGAUGUAGUGGAUAGUUUUAUCAUUCUGCAGUUUCUUUAAGUGUUUUUUCUUAUGUUUCACUAGAUCUUGUGUAUUGCAUGGAUUUUUUAGAGAAGAAUAUUGGCUGGUUGCAAUCUAAAUUGGAAACUCUGUUGAAUGGUUGGCAUAUUAGACCCCCCUUGUUUUAUGUAUACUUUUGAUCCAUUCUUGUUUGUACUUUCAUUCUGUUUGGAUGGUAUUGUAUUCAUAGUCUUGGAGCAUAUGUGGAGAGCUGUAGGGUUUUGCUCCAAUGUCUUUUUAGUCUCUUGAAACAAGUAGAAGGCUAUUGUGAAGAGACUUCAUAUUGUCCUCAUUGAAUGAAAAUGGCACAAUUGACUUAUAUUAUAGUUCUAAAUAAUGUGGGUGAUUAAUUGUCAAUCCAAAUUAUACAAUUAUCAUAUUCAUGGGAAUCUUUGUAGUAUGUAAAAUAAUCUAAAUUAUGUAUGCUAACAUUUUUUAAAAGUGAAUAAAACAUUGGUUUAGACACAAAGGCUGUAAAGUUGAUGCAAACAUUGAGUUUAGACUUGAUUCUCUCAGCUAUGAUUGGGUUUUGCAGCACUAUUGGGCCUCUUUUGGAAAAGAUUAAGUUAGUCAGGAAGAAUAUUUGGGAGUUUCGUCACAGCAUCAGACACUUUCCUUGCUUACAUGCAUUGUUAUUGUACUUGUGCAUUGAAGUCCUGAAGUACUGUUGUAAAGAAAUGUUUUAAAAGGGUAUUGAUAUUAUCAUCUCAAAAGCUGUAACAUUUUGAAGAUAAGGAAUCCUUUUCUGUAUUCAUAAUUUUACCUUAGAAGAUUAUAAAUUACUUGCAUCACAUGAACAUAGGCUUUAAUGAAAAAUAUUACAAUUUGUUGGCACUGUUAGAAAAAUUUUCUCAUGUGGAAUCUCUAAUUAAUUACACAUGCUGUUGGAUGAUAAGUAUGUUUUGCAUAGAAUUGACAACGGCUGUGGAAAACGAAUGAAGUUAGCCUACAUGAACUUGAAAGAGGCAUCCUAUGCAACGUACUUGCAACCAUUGUAUCAGAUGGGAAAAGAUCUGCUCUGUGUUUGACAGUUAGAUGCUAUUAAGCUAGAUUAACUUACUGAUCUUUAAACAUUGUCUGUCCAUCCAUCUCUGUGUGUGUGUGGGUCAAUUUAUUGUUCAUUAUAAUUUGUUGCAGCAGUCGAUGUUUAUGUUGUCUAACAACUAUGCAGAUUGCUACCUUCUUUUUGAUUUUUCUGGUCAGGUGGAAUUAUUUUUCCUUCACUCAAAUGCCAAGAAUGUUAUAAUGAAACUCAUGAAGAAGUUGAACCUUAGGCUUUCAACCUCGAUUUUUACAGAGGUUCAAGACCUAUUAUAUUUGGAGCACCAUCUUGAUCAGGAUCCUCAUGCUUCUAACUACAGGACUUCAAUGAAAGCUUACAAAGGAGCUACGUACGGUGAUAGAAGAUUAGUCUUGUUGAUUUUGCAACCUUAGAUGUUUUCAGUACCUACUUGGGUGAGACAAUAGUGUGGCUAUGUUUUCCGAUUUUCACGUUUUUAUAUCAACUGAUUAGCUCAGUCAAGGAAUUUCACCUGUAAAAGAUAUUGAGAACACUGAUCAAAGGGCUUGGUUCUUCUCAUCUCCACUUGCCUUCCUGAGGGACAUGUAUAUAGGGAACACUCUGGAUUUGUAAAGUGAAGAUUGUUCAACUUCAAAACUUAAAAUGAUUACUAUCAGAAUUUUGAUAUGUAAUGGAGGCUAAUGUAUUUGGUUUUGCAAACGAUUAUUUCCAUUGGGCUGGACAUAAUUUCUCUAAUGACUUUUUGCUAGUGUCAUGGGUCUGGAGUUUUGUUAUUAGAAGGAAGCUCAACACCCACGAUUCAUUGCAUCAUGGACACUUUUCAUUUUGAGGAUAGCAAAAAGUUGAUCCAGUGCAUGAAGCAUCACGCUUUGUGGAUUUUGGAGAGGAGUUGAAGAACAGUUGCAAAUAAUCCAAGAGAAAAUAUUGUGAUUGCAGGAAUGGCAGAUGGUGAAAGUUUUUCAAUCAUGGAUCAAGUUUCUAUGGACGGCCAAACCAUUUGCUACUGUUUCCCAAGUAUGCAUUACUUAUUGUAAUUGUACUAGAUACUCAAGGUCAGUUGUGGUGGCGCAUGACUGAUAAAGUCUUUGUUCUUCCAAAUGAAAGUGAUAGAUUUAUAGUCUAGCAUAUAGAAAAUUUAUGAGACCAAUUGGCAAAUAAAUCAUAGCAAACUUGACAUUGUUUAUGGUA